rnacentral:rRNA from 1 species
GUAGGGAAUAUUGGGCAAUGGACGCAAGUCUGACCCAGCCAUGCCGCGUGUAGGAAGACGGCCCUCUGGGUUGUAAACUACUUUUAUCAGGGAAGAAGAAUGGGCUUGCGAGCUUAUGUGACGGUACCUGAGGAAUAAGCACCGGCUAACUCCGUGCCAGCAGCCGCGGUAAUACGGAGGGUGCAAGCGUUGUCCGGAUUUAUUGGGUUUAAAGGGUGCGUAGGUGGCCUCUUAAGUCAGCUUUGAAAGCUGGUCGCUUAACGAUCAGGGGUGGGUUGAUACUGGGAGGCUUGGAUCAGGUGGCGGUUUCUGGAACGGGUCGUGUAGCGGUGAAAUGCAUAGAUAUGACCCAGAACUCCGAUUGCGAAGGCAGGAGGCUACGCCUGGAUUGACACUGAGGCACGAGAGCAUGGGGAGCAAACAGG